AAGAAAUUAGUUAAAACAUAACAUUAAUAUGUCAAAUUAAAAUUAUUAUUUAAAUAAUAUUUCUUU
rnacentral:tRNA from 1 species